UACGUAGGGUGCGAGCGUUAAUCGGAAUUACUGGGCGUAAAGCGUGCGCAGGCGGUUCGUUAAGACAGAUGUGAAAUCCCCGGGCUUAACCUGGGAACUGCAUUUGUGACUGGCGAGCUAGAGUAUGGCAGAGGGGGGUAGAAUUCACGGUGUAGCAGUGAAAUGCGUAGAGAUGUGGAGGAAUACCGAUGGCGAAGGCAGCCCCCUGGGCCAAUACUGACGCUCAUGCACGAAAGCGUGGGGAGCAAACAGG
rnacentral:rRNA from 1 species